GUGGCGGCGUGCUUACCAUGCAAGUCGAACGAUGAUGCCCAGCUUGCUGGGUGGAUUAGUGGCGAACGGGUGAGUAAUACGUGAGUAACCUGCCCUUGACUCUGGGAUAAGCCUGGGAAACCGGGUCUAAUACUGGAUACUACCGGCCAUCGCAUGGUGGUGGGUGGAAAGGGUUUUACUGGUUUUGGAUGGGCUCACGGCCUAUCAGCUGGUUGGUGGGGUAAUGGCUCACCAAGGCGACGACGGGUAGCCGGCCUGAGAGGGUGACCGGCCACACUGGGACUGAGACACGGCCCAGACUCCUACGGGAGGCAGCAGUGGGGAAUAUUGCACAAUGGGCGCAAGCCUGAUGCAGCGACGCCGCGUGAGGGAUGACGGCCUUCGGGUUGUAAACCUCUUUCAGUAGGGAAGAAGCGCAAGUGACGGUACCUGCAGAAGAAGCGCCGGCUAACUACGUGCCAGCAGCCGCGGUAAUACGUAGGGCGCAAGCGUUGUCCGGAAUUAUUGGGCGUAAAGAGCUCGUAGGCGGUUUGUCGCGUCUGCUGUGAAAGCCCGGGGCUCAACCCCGGGUCUGCAGUGGGUACGGGCAGACUAGAGUGCAGUAGGGGAGACUGGAAUUCCUGGUGUAGCGGUGAAAUGCGCAGAUAUCAGGAGGAACACCGAUGGCGAAGGCAGGUCUCUGGGCUGUUACUGACGCUGAGGAGCGAAAGCAUGGGGAGCGAACAGGAUUAGAUACCCUGGUAGUCCAUGCCGUAAACGUUGGGCACUAGGUGUGGGGGACAUUCCACGUUUUCCGCGCCGUAGCUAACGCAUUAAGUGCCCCGCCUGGGGAGUACGGCCGCAAGGCUAAAACUCAAAGGAAUUGACGGGGGCCCGCACAAGCGGCGGAGCAUGCGGAUUAAUUCGAUGCAACGCGAAGAACCUUACCAAGGCUUGACUUCACCGGACCGCCUCAGAGGAUGGGUCUCCCUUUUAGGGUCCGUGGACAGGGGGUGCAUGGUUGUCGCC
rnacentral:rRNA from 1 species